UACAUGCAACCGAGUCCCGACCAGUAAUGGGAAGGACGCUUUUAUUAGAUCAAAAUCAAUCGGGGCCGGCCACCGCGCCGCCCCGUCUGACUUGAUGACUCUGAAUAACACAGACCUGAUCGCACGGCCUCGCGCCGGCGACCCAUCUUUCAAAUGCCUGACUUAUCAACUGUCGAUGGUAGGCUCUAGGUCUACCAUGGUUGUAACGGGUGACGGGGAAUCAGGGUUCGAUUCCGGAGAGGGAGCCUGAGAAACGGCUACCACAUCCAAGGAAGGCAGCAGGCACGCAAAUUACCCACUCCCGGCACGGGGAGGUAGUGACAAAAAAUAACGAUACGGGACUCAUCCGAGGCCCCGUAAUCGGAAUGAGCACACUCUAAAUCAUUUAACAAGUACCUAUUGGAGGGCAAGUCUGGUGCCAGCAGCCGCGGUAAUUCCAGCUCCAAUGGCGUAUAUUAAAGUUGUUGCGGUUAAAAAGCUCGUAGUUGGUCCUGCGUCCCACGCUGUCGGUUCACCGCCUGUCGGUGCAACUGGCACGCCGUGGGAUGUCCUGCCGGUGGCGGCCGCGGCCCGGCGGGCGGGGCGUAAGAUCCGGAACGGGUCCGAAGCCCCCCCCCGGGAAUCGCCGGUCGCCUAUCUAAUCCCGCCGCGGUGCUCUUAACUGAGUGUCGAGGUGGGCCGGCACGUUUACUUUGAACAAAUUAGAGUGCUCAAAGCAGGCUGAACUCAGCCUGAAUAGUGGUGCAUGGAAUAAUUGAAUAGGACCUCGGUUCUAUUUUGUUGGUUUUCGGAACCCGAGGUAAUGA
rnacentral:rRNA from 1 species